rnacentral:tRNA from 1 species
UGGGCUGUGGCUCAGUGGUAGAGCACAUGCCUAUCAUGUGUGAGGCACUGGGUUAGAUUCUCAGCACCACAU